ACCUUUUCCCUUCUGAGGACGCACCUUGGAUCCUUGCCAUUGCUUUAUUGAGCGCUCUGGUGCUGCUGCUUGGAAUGUAUUUUGGCAAUGAUUGCUGGUACAGAAAUAAAGAUGAUAAGACGUUAUCUUCUAGAGCCAUUUACUAUACCUUAUGCCCGUGCGAGACUGAACUCAAAGGUCUCAAAAAAAGAGCUGAUUGAAGACAAAAUCACAUCUGAGUGGAAUUGAAGACGAUGAAGUAUCACAUAUUGUUAUUGUGAUUUAAGAAGCUGUACAUGGUCUGCUGGGUAUAUAACUAAACAAUAAAGAACUAUAAGUACCAAUAAAGUUCACAUACUAACAAAGGCUUCUGUCUGUUAUGUAGACUUUUAAAUUAAACCACUUGUUGCAUCUGCUCUUUUUGUUUGUGCAUGAAUGCUGUUCAAAAGAAAAAAGC